GAUGAACGCUGGCGGCGUGCCUAAUACAUGCAAGUCGAGCGAACAGACGAGGAGCUUGCUCCUCUGAUGUUAGCGGCGGACGGGUGAGUAACACGUGGAUAACCUACCUAUAAGACUGGGAUAACUUCGGGAAACCGGAGCUAAUACCGGAUAACAUGUUGAACCGCAUGGUUCAACAGUGAAAGACGGUCUUGCUGUCACUUAUAGAUGGAUCCGCGCCGCAUUAGCUAGUUGGUAAGGUAACGGCUUACCAAGGCAACGAUGCGUAGCCGACCUGAGAGGGUGAUCGGCCACACUGGAACUGAGACACGGUCCAGACUCCUACGGGAGGCAGCAGUAGGGAAUCUUCAGCAAUGGGCGAAAGCCUGACGGAGCAACGCCGCGUGAGUGAAGAAGGUCUUCGGAUCGUAAAACUCUGUUAUUAGGGAAGAACGAAUGUGUAAGUAACUAUGCACGUCUUGACGGUACCUAAUCAGAAAGCCACGGCUAACUACGUG
rnacentral:rRNA from 1 species